rnacentral:rRNA from 1 species
UGGGGAAUUUUCCGCAAUGGGCGCAAGCCUGACGGAGCAAUACCGCGUGAGGGAGGAAGGCUUUUGGGUUGUAAACCUCUUUUCUCAAGGAAGCAGUCCUGACGGUACUUGAGGAAUCAGCAUCGGCUAACUCCGUGCCAGCAGCCGCGGUAAUACGGAGGAUGCAAGCGUUAUUCGGAAUUAUUGGGCGUAAAGCGUCCGCAGGUCGUGCCUCAAGUCUGCUGUCAAAGACCGAAGCUCAACUUCGGGCAGGGAGUGGAAACUGAAGCACUAGAGUACGGUAGGGGUAGAGGGAAUUUCCAGUGUAGCGGUGACAUGCGUAGAGAUUGGGAAGAACACCGGUGGCGAAGGCGGUCACCUGGCCCGCAACUGACGCUGAGGCGCGAAAGCGUGGGGAGCAAACAGGAUUAGAUACCCGCGUAGUCC